rnacentral:tRNA from 1 species
GGCCUCGUGGCCUAAUGGCAUGGCGUUAGAUUUCGGUUAUCAAUCAAUCAAUCAAAAAAGUUGAAUUACGAGGCUUUGAAAAAACAUGAAAAGCUAAAAUAACUGGUUCUCUAAAGAUUGUCGGUUCGAAUCCGGCCGAGGUCG